rnacentral:lncRNA from 1 species
UGGUAACUAAAAAAAUAGAAAACAUGUGACGCCCCCAAAAUAGGUCCAUUCCAUCCAACCCAUUCUGAGUCGCCAAAUACAUGGUACAGAAACAACUACGACUUUAUUAAUACAAUUGUCGUGCAAAAUACGACAAUACAUAAUUAUGAGUUUUAAUACAAAUAUUGUAAUGUAUAUAAUACGACAAUAUUCAUACUCAAAUUAUUACAUGCCAUAUAAAGUACAGCAGCAAAUAUUUCAAGUCUCCAAAGGGACACGAGAAGAAUUCUUUUCUCUUCAUUUUAAUGCGGUGCACUUUUGACGUUUCUAGGUUGGGUUCGCCUCACCCUAUUGUUGUUCACCAAAAUCAAUUAUUAAGUGACGUAUAAAAUACGAUACAUACAUCUUAGGUCCUCAAUACAAUUAUAUAUUGAAUGUCAUGCCGUUUUAUAACGUAUUGAGAGACUUGGACAGUCUCGGACCAUCACACUAUUCCCCUGUUAUCCCCGCUCGACCCGGCUACACUUUUAUUACCUGAAAGGAAUUGUGAAAUAAAAGGGUGAGCACAACUAGCCCAGUAAAGAAUAUAAUGACUAAAGAUAAUUAAAU